rnacentral:rRNA from 1 species
UACGGGGGGGGCAAGCGUUGUUCGGAAUUACUGGGCGUAAAGCGCACGUAGGCGGCUUUGUAAGUUAGAGGUGAAAGCCCGGGGCUCAACUCCGGAAUUGCCUUUAAGACUGCAUCGCUAGAAUUGUGGAGAGGUAAGUGGAAUUCCGAGUGUAGAGGUGAAAUUCGUAGAUAUUCGGAAGAACACCAGUGGCGAAGGCGACUUACUGGACACAUAUUGACGCUGAGGUGCGAAAGCGUGGGGAGCGAACGGG